rnacentral:misc_RNA from 1 species
GCAAACUUGGUCAUUUAGAGGAAGUAAAAGUCGUAACAAGGUUUCCGUAGGUGAACCUGCGGAAGGAUCAUUACCGAGUUAGGGUCUUCUCAGGCCCGACCUCCCAACCCUGUGUUUAUUAAACCUAUGUUGCUUCGGCGGGCCCGUCUCACGACCGCCGGGGGACCGUAAGACCGUCCUCUGGCCUGCGCCCGCCGGCGGCCAAACUUGACAAAUUCUGAUUAAAUCGUGUCACUGUCUGAGUACCAUUCUUAAUCAAAACAAAACUUUCAACAACGGAUCUCUUGGUUCUGGCAUCGAUGAAGAACGCAGC